rnacentral:lncRNA from 1 species
UCCCCACCCCCUCCCGGUCCCGGUCCCGGCCCCGCCGCCCCCGGGCCCAGCCCGGUACCUACCGGCGGCGCCGCCCCCGCCGCUCCGCGCCCGCCGGGGCCGUGCCGCGGCCUCAGCCCGCUCGCAUGGUGCGGGGCCGGGCCCGCCGGGCUCGGGGCCGCUCCCGCUGCCGCUGCCGGUGCCGCUCCCGGGGCCGCUCCCGCUCCGGCCUCGGCCUCAGCCCCGCCUCAUGGCGCCCCCCGCGCCUGCCCCGCCGAUGGUACCGGCCAAGCCGCGCCCCCCCCCCCUCCACACCUCCCCCCCCGCGGAGCUGCGAUGGAAGCGUCCAACCUCCUGCCGUAAUGGCUGCAUUAGGGGCGCAGCUGGAAUCGGUACCGUAAUGAUCCGAGCCGCGGCGCAGAAGUUAAUCAUUGAUGAACUUGGGUACAGCAGGAGGCAAAGGUCUCUGGUGGUGUCAGGGUGCAGGCAGAGCGCAGCCUGCGCUGCAGCAUCCCCAGCGAGGCACCGCAGGUAAGGGAUGCCUUGGGUAAGGGGCGACGUGGGGGGGGGUCCGCCAGCGGCUCUGGGGGUCCCUGGACACCCCUGUGGUCUCCAGCACCCGGAGGCCAGCCCCGUCCCCCUGCGCCCUGUCCCCACGGAGCCCAUCCCCAGGCUCCCGGGAGAGCACAGACCCCAUCUCGGUCUCUCCCAGGUGGGCGCUGGGGGCUGGGGGAGCGCCCGGGACGUGCCCCAGGUUCUGUGCCGUGCACUGCGGGCUCCAGGCAGGAUGGCACAGCCCUCGCUGCUGCUGCUCCCGUUCCUCCUGGCAGCAGCUUCAGGCAACACGCCCCCCAUCUUCAACACGACCAUCGAGUACGUGAGCGAGGACCUGCAGAUAGGUGAGCGGGCGGCCCCGGGGGGCCUGGGGGGCACAGGGGGGGCACGGCCAGGGCCGACACCACCCUUGUCCCCAGGCCAAGUCGCUUUCGUGCUGACGGCCACUGACUUGGAUAAGGACACGCUCAGCUACUCCAUCAGCGGUGCGGAUGCCUUCUACUUCAACGUUAACCAAAGCACGGGGGUCGUGACCCUGAGGAACCUCUUGGACCGGGAGUCCCAGGCCAGGCUCACCCUAACCGUCACCGUGUCCGACGGCAGUCAACGAUGCGGUGAGUGCUGGGCUGGGGGCCGGGAGGGGGCAACGUCACCCCCCGGGGGUGAUGCUGGCCAGCUCCAGAGCUCCAGCGGGACACCGUGCCCCUCACCUUCCAGACCUCCAGGAGGCUGACGGUCAUUGUGGAGGACUGCAACGACAACGCCCCGGUCUUCAAGGGCCUGCCCUACUGAAACCUCUGUCCCCGAGGUACCUCCCUGGGCACCUGGCGGCCCCGCGG